AACACGUGAGCAACCUGCCCCUGACUCUGGGAUAAGCGCUGGAAACGGCGUCUAAUACUGGAUACGAACCACGAAGGCAUCUUCAGUGGUUGGAAAGAAUUUCGGUUGGGGAUGGGCUCGCGGCCUAUCAGCUUGUUGGUGAGGUAAUGGCUCACCAAGGCGUCGACGGGUAGCCGGCCUGAGAGGGUGACCGGCCACACUGGGACUGAGACACGGCCCAGACUCCUACGGGAGGCAGCAGUGGGGAAUAUUGCACAAUGGGCGAAAGCCUGAUGCAGCAACGCCGCGUGAGGGAUGACGGCCUUCGGGUUGUAAACCUCUUUUAGCAGGGAAGAAGCGAAAGUAACGGUACCUGCAGAAAAAGCGCCGGCUAACUACGUGCCAGCAGCCGCGGUAAUACGUAGGGCGCAAGCGUUAUCCGGAAUUAUUGGGCGUAAAGAGCUCGUAGGCGGUUUGUCGCGUCUGCUGUGAAAUCCGGAGGCUCAACCUCCGGCCUGCAGUGGGUACGGGCAGACUAGAGUGCGGUAGGGGAGAUUGGAAUUCCUGGUGUAGCGGUGGAAUGCGCAGAUAUCAGGAGGAACACCGAUGGCGAAGGCAGAUCUCUGGGCCGUAACUGACGCUGAGGAGCGAAAGGGUGGGGAGCAAACAGGCUUAGAUACCCUGGUAGUCCACCCCGUAAACGUUGGGAACUAGUUGUGGGGUCCAUUCCACGGAUUCCGUGACGCAGCUAACGCAUUAAUUCCCCGCCUGUGGAGUACGGCCGCAAGGUAAAACUCAAAGGAAUUGACGGAGACCCGCACAAGCGGCGGAGCAUGCGGA
rnacentral:rRNA from 1 species